UACGUAGGGGGCAAGCGUUGUCCGGAUUCAUUGGGCGUAAAGAGCUCGUAGGCGGCUUGGCAAGUCGGGUGUGAAAACUCCAGGCUCAACCUGGAGACGCCACCCGAUACUGCUAUGGCUUGAGUCCGGUAGGGGACCACGGAAUUCCUGGUGUAGCGGUGAAAUGCGCAGAUAUCAGGAGGAACACCGGUGGCGAAGGCGGUGGUCUGGGCCGGAACUGACGCUGAGGAGCGAAAGCGUGGGGAGCGAACAGG
rnacentral:rRNA from 1 species